AUGUCCCCAUCCCAGAUCCUCUGCAUCCUGCUGCUCUGGGCUCAGGAGUCCAGCGCAGUCACUGAGGUAACCCAAUCUCCAGCUUCCCUGUCUGUGGCUCUGGGAGAGAAAGUCACCAUCAGCUGCAGGGCCAGUAAGAGCAUCAGCAAUAAUUUAGCCUGGCAUCAGCAGCCACCAGGAAAACUUCCAAGACUUCUUGUGUAUUAUGCUAGCUCCCUAGCAUCUGGGGUCCCUGCCCGCUUCAGUGGCAGUUGGUCUGGGACAGAUUUUACUCUCACAAUCAACAAUGUGGUGGCUGAAGAUGUUGGACAUUACUAUUGUCAACAGCAUUAUGAUUUCCCUCUCCCACAGUGA